CCGUCGAUGAGGUCCCACCGCAGGGUGAGCUGGGGAUCCUCAGCGUGAACUCCCUGAGGCGCAGCGUCAGCCAGGUGAUGGACGGGAAGUCCCUCACAGGAGACGACGAAGCGUGGGACCCAGACAUCUCAGGCCAUGACAGUGGGAUGUUUAUGGACGAUGAGGAAUUUGUUGACACCGUCAAAGGUUUCAGCACUGUGAGGAAGGAGCACACGAUGUUCACUGACACCAACGUGUGACCUGUGGAUGACCUUAUUAAAAAAAACAAUCUGGCAGGACCACUGGCCCUGGAUGUUUAACAUUUUUGAAAAGCAACGCCACUCAUUCACAUCAAAAAGUCCCGACCAGGUAACACUGUAGCUGGUCAGGAGAUGUGAAGAGGUCAGAGGAGCCAAACAUGACUCAUUACAGGAUCGGUGGAAUAACUGUGGCAACGUGGAGAAGAGGUGUAGCAGGAAUGUCACAGUCCUGACAGUUAAACGCAACUGGACAAGAUAAAUUUUGAGUGGGAAGGAUGAAGUGUGAAAGGAUAUGCUUAACAUUGAAAUUCCUCAUCAGUGAAUACAGACUCAACCCACAUGUUGAGAAAAAGACAAAACAAAGAUGUAGUUAUCCAUUUCUAUCUAUAUUCUGUCUAAAGAGAGGACUUUAAUUUGGUAAUUUUGUAAGAUGCAUCCUUGUAACGUUUAUUUUCAAUCUGCUGUCUGUGACUGGAAACAUCUGUAGUCUUCACGUCUUUGGAGGCUUUUUGGUUAAUGGAAGAGCAAAACCUGUUGUGAACUUGCAUUCUGGUGAAUCCAAGGAAACACUAAUUGAACUGGUGGAUGCAGCUUGCAAGUGCCAUUAAGUCAGUCAGCAGAGGACCAUGCACAAAAAGAUUUCCCUUCCCUUCUGUGUUUAUCUUUUUCCCCCUCAGUACUCGAUGUAUUUUGGGCCAUUUUGCCAGAAGCUGAGUGAUGAGGUUAACAAAUUACAGUGAGCAGAUCUGGUCUGGUCAGACUUGGUAAGAUGGGAAAUAUUUGGUUAGCAAGGAUUUCAACAAAAACUUGAUGGAUUGAAAAUGGGGAGUGGAAAUGGUUGGUUGCUACUUUAUUAAAAAGAGUAAAUGAUUCACA